CGUUGGCUGAGUGGUAGAGCGUUCUCGCUAAGAGAGCGUUCUCGGGGGUUCGAUUCCCCCUUGCGGC
rnacentral:tRNA from 14 species